UACGAAGGGAGCUAGCGUUGUUCGGAAUCACUGGGCGUAAAGCGCACGUAGGCGGGUUUGUCAGUCAGGGGUGAAAUCCCGGGGCUCAACCUCGGAACUGCCCUUGAUACAGCAAGCCUUAGAGUCCGGAAGAGGUGGGUGGAAUUCCUAGUGUAGAGGUGAAAUUCGUAGAUAUUAGGAAGAACACCAGUGGCGAAGGCGGCCCACUGGUCCGGCACUGACGCUGAGGUGCGAAAGCGUGGGGAGCAAACAGG
rnacentral:rRNA from 1 species